GGAGAAUACUCUAAGAUAUGAUUCUAAAGUCUUUGGCCAAAGCAUAUGAAUAUGACUUAGGAAGUUUUUUCCAAAUCAUAUUCAAGGGAAUCAUAUAGAUAUGUAUCACAUUGGAUAGUAGACAUGAAACAAACUAUCACUCAAACAAUGUGAUUAAGAGUAUUGUAUUAGAGAAGGACCGUAUUGCAUUGUAGUUGUAACUGGAUAGAUUCUCCAACCAAUUUUACUUAGCUUGGGUAACCAUGACAUACUGCUAGGUGGCACUCAUGGUUUGUGGAAGCCCUAAUGACUAGCAAACACUAAUCAUAAAGGGAGAAUUGAAAUGUGGUUUCAAUUCAUAAUCGAUCGUUAAGAGUAACAAUCGCCCACUACCUCGCUAAUUGGAACCUAAUAGAUCGUACACCGAGUAAGGGCGAUAGUGAAGAAAUUAAAUGA
rnacentral:lncRNA from 1 species